rnacentral:rRNA from 1 species
CUAAGGCCGAUGGCGACCGGCGCACGGGUGAGUAACACGUAUCCAACCUGCCGAUAACUCGGGGAUAGCCUUUCGAAAGAAAGAUUAAUACCCGAUGGCAUAAUAGAACCGCAUGGUUUGAUUAUUAAAGAAUUUCGGUUAUCGAUGGGGAUGCGUUCCAUUAGGUUGUUGGCGGGUAACGGCCCACCAAGCCUUCGAUGGAUAGGGGUUCUGAGAGGAAGGUCCCCCACAUUGGAACUGAGACACGGUCCAA